AGAGUUUGAUCCUGGCUCAGGAUGAACGCUGGCGGCGUGCUUAAUACAUGCAAGUCGAACGGAGGUUGCAGCGAUGUAGCCUUAGUGGCGAACGGGUGAGUAACGCGUUGGUGACCUGCCCCAAAGCGAGGGAUAACAGAUCGAAAGGUCUGCUAAUACCGCAUGAGGUCUUGAAGGUUAGAGGCUUGAAGACGAAAGCAGCGAUGCGUUUUGGGAGGGGCCUGCGUCCCAUCAGCUAGUUGGUAAGGUAAAGGCUUACCAAGGCGACGACGGGUAGGGGACCUGAGAGGGUGACCCCCCACACUGGCACUGAAACACGGGCCAGACACCUACGGGUGGCAGCAGUAGGGAAUAUUGCACAAUGGGCGAAAGCCUGAUGCAGCAACGCCGCGUGCGCGAUGAAGGCCUUCGGGUCGUAAAGCGCUUUUCGGGGAGAAGAGGAAGGACGGUAUCCCCGGAAUAAGGAUCGGCUAACUACGUGCCAGCAGCCGCGGUAAAACGUAGGAUCCGAGCGUUAUCCGAAUUCACUGGGCGUAAAGCGCGUGCAGGCGGUACGGUAAGUUGGAUGUGAAAUCUCCUGGCUCAACUGGGAGAGGACGUUCAAUACUGUCGAACUAGAGGGCGGAAGAGGGAGGUGGAAUUCCCGGUGUAGUGGUGAAAUGCGUAGAUAUCGGGAGGAACACCAGAGGCGAAAGCGGCCUCCUAGGCCGUACCUGACGCUCAGACGCGAAAGCUAGGGGAGCAAACGGGAUUAGAAACCCCGGUAGUCCUAGCCGUAAACGAUGUAGACUUGGUGUUGGAGGUGUAAAAACCGCCGGUGCCGAAGCAAACGCGAUAAGUCUACCGCCUGGGGACUACGGCCGCAAGGUUAAAACUCAAAGGAAUUGACGGGGGCCCGCACAAGCAGCGGAGCGUGUGGUUUAAUUCGAUUUACGCGAAGAACCUUACCCGGGUUUGACAUGCAGGAGGUAGGGAACCGAAAGGGGACCGACCCGCAAGGGAGCCUGCACAGGUGCUGCAUGGCUGUCGUCAGCUCGUGUCGUGAGAUGUCCGGUUAAGUCCGGUAACGAGCGCAACCCACGUCGUAUGCUACAAGUGUCAUACGAUACUGCUGGUAUAAAGCCGGAGGAAGGUGUGGAUGACGUCAAGUCAGCAUGGCCUUUAUGUCCGGGGCUACACACACGCUACAAUGGCCAGUACAAUGGGUAGCAAAGCCGCGAGGUGGAGCCAAUCCGCAAAGCUGGUCACAGUUCAGAUUGUAGGCUGCAACUCGCCUACAUGAAGUCGGAGUUGCUAGUAACCGCGCGUCAGCAUUAGUGCGGUGAAUACGUUCCCGGGCCUUGUACACACCGCCCGUCACGUCAUGGGAGCUGGCAACACCUGAAGCCGGUAGCCUAACCGCGAGGAAGGCGCCGUCGAAGGUGGGGUUGGUGACUGGGACGAAGUCGUAACAAGGUA
rnacentral:rRNA from 1 species